GCGAAAAAAGCCCAGGUUUUACCCGGGGGGGUGUUUUCGUCACCUCCUCCCCCAGCUUUAGAUCUUCCCUCAGUGGCCUUCAAGAGGAGGAGCUUGUGGAAGGCGCCCAGGUGGUGGGUGGCCACCGUCAGGGGGUGGGUGGCCACCGUCAGGGGGUUGGUGGCAGCGUUGACUUGGUGGGUGGCCACGUUGACUUGGUGGGUGGCCACGUUGACUUGGUGGGUGGCCACGUUGACUUGGUGGGUGGCCACGUUGACUUGGUGGGUGGCCACGUUGACUUGGUGGGUGGCCACGUUGACUUGGUGGGUGGCCACGUUGACCUGGUGGGUGGCCACGUUGACCUGGUGGGUGGUCGAGUUGAAGUGUUGGGUGGCUGCGUUGAGUUGGUUGGUGGCCACGUUGACUUGGUUGGUUGAGUUGAGGUGUUGGGUGGGCGUGUUGACUUGGUUAGUGGCCACGUUGACUUGGUUGGUGGCCACGUUGACUUGGUUGGUUGAGUUGAGGUGUUGGGUGGUCACGUUGACUUGGUUGGUGGCCGUGUUGGCCAGUUGGGUGGUCGUGUCGACCUGUUGGGUGGUCACUUCGACUUGGUGGGUGGCCACGUUGAGUUGGUCGGCGGCCACGUUGACCUGUUGGGUGGCCACGUUGAGUUGGGUGGUUGCGUUGACUUGGUUGGCCACGUUGGCCUGUUGGGUGGUCACGUUGACUUGUUGGGUGGCCGUGUUGACUUGGCUGGUGGCACCAAGAGGUUGAGUGGCCCCGGCGAGCUGUUGGGUUGCCCCGGCCACGUUCUGGGUGGUCCCGCUGACGUUUUGGGUGGUCCCGGUGACGUUUUGAGUGGUCCCGGUGACGUUUUGCGUGGUUCCACCAAGAUUUUGAGUGGUUCCACCGAGAUUUUGGGCGUUUCCGGCCAGAUUUUGAGUAGCCCCGGCUGGGUUUUGAGUAGCCGCGUUGAGUCUGGUGGCCCCGCUCAACCCUUGGGUGGUCACCGGGGGCGGGAGGAGAAGAUAAUCCAGGUGUUGAGGGACAGGGUGGGGGUUCAUCUGAACGUGGGGGUAUUUUUCUCGGUGGCGGUGAAAAUGAACUUUCAGGUUGCCCCGGGUGGUGAAUCGGUUGCCGCAGACGUUGCACUUGUAGGGUCUCUCCCCGGUGUGGGAGCGGAGGUGGAUUUGCCGAGCGCUUUCGCUCCCGAAGGAUUUGCCGCAGAAGCCACAUUCGUGCCGGGGGGUCCCCAAAUCCGUCGUCGUUGUCGUCGUCCCCCCCCCUCCGAAAUUUUUCGGCCGCAAAAGAUUGGCCGAAGAACCUCCGGUGGCCACCGGUGGGAAAAAGGUAGCCACGGCGUGAGGAGGGUGUGUUUUGAGGCUUCGAUGUUGGGGGGGGGAAGGGAAAUGAGGGAAAAGGUGGAAGAAAUGGGGUUUGGGGGGGUUGGUUUUU
rnacentral:lncRNA from 1 species